CCUACGGGUGGCAGCAGUGGGGGAUAUUGCACAAUGGGCGAAAGCCUGAUGCAGCGACGCCGCGUGAGGGAAGACGGUCUUCGGAUUUUAAACCUCUGUCUUUGGGGAAGAAAAUGACGGUACCCAAAGCUGAAUCUCCGGCUAACUCCGUUACAGCGGCCGCGGUAAUAGGUCGGCAGCAAGCGUUGUCCGGAUUGACUGGGUGUAAAGGGAGGGUAGGCGGGGUAGAAAGUAGAAGGUUAAUUCCAUCGGCUAAAUCCGUGGCUGCGUUUUACACUGUCGGGCUUGAGUGAAGUAGAGGCAGGCGGAAUGUCUAGUGUAGCGGUGAAAUGCGUAGAGAUUAGGAGGAACACCAGUGGCGAAGGCGGCCUGCUGGGCUUCAACUGACGUUGAGGCUCGAAAGCGUGGGGAGCAAACAGGAUUAGAUACCCGUGUAGUC
rnacentral:rRNA from 1 species